UACGUAGGGUGCGAGCGUUAAUCGGAAUUACUGGGCGUAAAGCGUGCGCAGGCGGUUUUGUAAGCCAGAUGUGAAAUCCCCGGGCUUAACCUGGGAAUAGCAUUUGGGACUGCAAGGCUUGAGUGCGGCAGAGGAGACUGGAAUUCCUGGUGUAGCAGUGAAAUGCGUAGAUAUCAGGAGGAACACCGAUGGCGAAGGCAGGUCUCUGGGCUGACACUGACGCUCAUGCACGAAAGCGUGGGGAGCAAACAGG
rnacentral:rRNA from 1 species